UAGAGAAUACUGGCGAGAAGCCAAAAGAAUUUUUAAACAAAUUAAUGUUCAGUUAGGGGAUCAGACAGCAUAUGGAGUUAGGAAUUUGCUAAAUUAAUUAAAAAUAAUUUGGGCCUUAAUUUUAAUUGCAGCAUAACUUUAACGACCCACAUAUUGUAUGGCUCCUGAUGGAACACGUGUUUUGGAACAGGCUGCUGUUGUUUUCACUGCUCUGAACCACCUCACUAUGUACCUGAAUGCUCUCCACACACCAUCCAACAGUCAACACAAGACCAAAAGGCUUGGUAUACUGACGCUGGCACUAACUGCCAGACACUUGCUGCCAAUAACCCUCCUCCCCCCACUGCAUCUCAUGGAAGAGGCAAACAAAAACACAAGGUGCAAUGUAGGAAUUCCUUUUUGGUUAGCUCCAAUCCUGGUGAUCUCAGGGGACUGAGCAUUCCCUAGAAAGAUGCUCUCCAUCUGUAGAAUGCAAGGAAAGAAGACUCUUUUAAUCUCACCUGCUGGUAAUAUGAUGAUGGGUUUAUUAAUUGGGUGUGUUGUUGAACAACUUGCAUUUAUAUAGUACCCUUUCCGUCGUUAAAACACAUUGAGGUCUUUCACAGGAGUGUAAUCAAACACAGAGCUGUCAAAGAUAACAUCAGGACGAGAUGCUGAGCAGGCUGGUUGUAGAUCUUUCAGGAGCAUCCUGAAGCAGGAGAGGGGGCUUUAGGGAGGGAAUUCCGGAGCUUAGGGCCCAUGUAGCUGAAAGCAGAGUGGCCAUCAGUGAUCGAUGCAGGGGACGUCCCAGGGAAGAACACAGAUACCUUGUUGAGGUUGUGAAGCCAGAGGAGGUAAUAGAUUCGAAGAGGUGUAGAAUUUGAAAGCAAGAAUGUGGACUUUAAGGCAUUGCCAAUCCAAGAGCCAGUAUGGGUCAGCGCAUAUAGGGGCGAUGUGUGAAGGGGGCUCGGAGGGAGACACGUUGCAGAGUUUUGGACGAGCAGUGGAUAAUGGAAGGUGCAAGAGGGAAGACCAACCAGGCGAGCAGUGAGGAGAGGACAAACUCAAACAGUGUUACAUGUAGAAGUGGGCCGUCUCAGUGAUAGAGGUUGGAAGCUCAUUGAGGUCAGACAAGGCCAUCAGUUUGUGAAUGGCUUGGGUGAACCUCUGUUCAGUGGCCAGAGAUAGAGUUGGUCAUUGGGAAACUUCGUGGAAACAGCCUGCAAACACAAGCCUCAAUAUACAGAGGACUUCUCUGCUCAUUCAGUACAGGAUCCCUGCAUGACAUUGGAAUCUCUAAAAACUAGCUGCUGUGCUAUCUCUAAGUAAUGAAGUCAAAGCCCACUGCAGAAUCGUGACCACGAUCUUAGCUGGAAGAGAAGUUAAACCUGAGGGCUGUCCCCUAAGACGCUGCAGAAGAUUCCCUGACACUGUUCAGUUCACUCUAGUAUCCUGACCAGCAUUUAUCCCUCAACCAACAUCAUAGAAACAGAUGAUCUACUCAUAAUCUUCUCUGCUGGAUGUAGGGUGUUGCUGGGUAUAAAUUGGCUCCCGUGGUUGCAGCUCCAAAGUGUUUCAUUGAUAGCCUGGCACUUUGGGCUGUCUUGAAAUUGUAACAGCAGAGGAAAUGGCCCUUCGGCUCAUUCUGUCUGGCUCGUCAUUAUGCAUCUAUCUCCUUUUAAUCCCAUUUUCCAGCUCGUGGUCUUUGUAGAUAUUUUUGUACCAGCCCAUUCAGCUUCUCUGGAGAUUUGAACCCAUGGCCUCCUGGCCUAAAGGAAAGGACAUUGCAGCUGUGCUACAGGAGCCCUUCCAAUAGCCCUAUAUGCUGUGGCAUUCCAGGUAUUCAUCUCAAUACAACUUAAAUGUCUUUUUGUGCCUCUACCACCCUUUAAGGCAGUGAUAGCCAUCAUGCUCUGGGGUGAAAAGCAUUUUCCUCAAAUCCCCUGUAAAUCUUAAAAACUGUGUCCCCUGGUCAUUCACCCCUCUAAGGGGAAAUGUUUCUCCCUAUCCAUGCCCCUCAACUUUGUAGACCUCAAUCACAUCUCUCACCACACACCUCUGCCUUCUCUGCUGUAAAGAGAACAGCCCUGACCUAUCUUGUCUCUCUGCAAAGGUGCUAUGUCAGUGCAUUGGCUGCUCAGACUGUUCACUCCUGCAAGCAAGUUUCCUGGAUGUGUAAAUGUGUCUUGUAUUGAAUACAGGACACAUGUUACAACAGCCCCUCAUAUUUCCAGUAAUCCCAAACAUAACGAUUUCAUUUCCAAAACUGUGGUUAAAAAGGGUGUUCCUCACUGGAAGGAGCAGGGAAAAUCAGGAACAGGCUCUAGUGGAGUUAUGACUGGGCUAUCCUUUUAACUGAGCUCACCUUAACUUAGUUAUCGAUUUAACCUGGCUAUCCCUUUAACUGACUUCUCUCUUGAACUGGGCUCUCCCUCUAACCUGGCAUUCCCUUUAAAUGGGCUGUGUCUCCCUUAUACAGCGACUCUUUCGUAGGGACUUAAAUACAUUCAGCAACAACGCAAUGGGAAAUUUUUCUUCUAAAAAAUUCUAAAAUAUAUUUCCCCUCCGUCCCCUCCGUACACACACCCAUUCCCAAAUGAAUGAAAAAGUGAACCUGUCUCACACUAGGGGAUGGAUUAGCCUGGGCUGCAAGCCUAAUCUCUACAUCUUCAUUUUGCAAAGAUCAAUUGAUUGGUCAGGCCAAGAGGUCAGAAAUUAACCCAGAAAUUGUGAAGAUGUGAAAUUGACCAUUGGCUGUAUUUGUAUCUCUCUCUCUCACACACACACACACACAUACACAGACAGUCACCCCACAAUAGACCUGAUGGAUCUGCUGACUGACCUUGCUGCUGUUUGUUCCCUUGUCUUUUUCUCUCUCUAGGAGGCCUGGUAUCCUGGUUCUGGUCAACGAUGCCGACUGGGAAUUAAUGGGCCAGUUGGAUUAUAAACUGGAGAACCGAGACAACGUCGUUUUUAUAUCAACAUUGCACGGCGGUUAACGAAACAGUUUGUUUCUAUUUUUUUUAAACAAAAAACAAAGCGACCAGAAGCUUUUCUGUAACACCAUUUAACCGUGUAUCAAAGCGAUGGCGACGUUAUUCGCGAGGUUAUCCGGAUCGCCUGUUUGUAAUAUACAAGCGGUUUGACCCGCAGUGCAUUAGGAUUACAAAUGAGACUGAGAACAUCACUGUUUAUGUAAAGAUGGUGAACUGUAAAAUAAAAUAAGCUCCUCUGAUCUUUAAAAUCCUUAAUCCCUAUUUAAAAGCAAAGUGAUUGUGAUAAUAUUACUUUGACAGUAACGUUACAGAUUUUAACACCCUGUAGUCAAUUUCCGCCCGUUUCAAACGAUGCUUUUUUGGUCAACGACUGUAAUUUUCUUCAAAGUAAAUUGAUAUGAAAUCAUG